GAGUGAAGAAUAUGACGGUAACUCAUGAAUAAGGGUCGGCUAACUACGUGCCAGCAGCCGCGGUCAUACGUAGGACCCAAGCGUUAUCCGGAGUGACUGGGCGUAAAGAGUUGCGUAGGCGGUUCAGGAAGCGAAUAGUGAAAGCUCAUGGCUCAACCAUGAAUCCAUUAUUCGAACUCUUGAACUCGAGAAUGGUAGAGGUAGCUGGAAUUUCGUGUGUAGGAGUGAAAUCCGUAGAUAUACGAAGGAACACCAAUGGCGUAGGCAGGCUACUGGACCAUUUCUGACGCUGAGGCACGAAAGCGUGGGGAGCGAACCGGAUUAGAUACCCGGGUAGUCCACGCCGUAAACGAUGGAUGCUAGCUGUGGGGGGUAUCGACCCCUUCCGUAGCGAAGCUAACGCGUUAAGCAUCCCGCCUGUGGAGUACGGCCGCAAGGCUAAAACAUAAAGGAAUUGACGGGGACCCGCACAAGCGGUGGAGCAUGUUCUUUAAUUCGAUGGUAAACGGUAAACCUUACCAGGGCUUGACAUCCCUAGAAUUUCUCCGAAAGGAGAGAGUGCUUAAUUGAACUAGGUGACAGAUGAUGCAUGGCCGUCGUCAGCUCGUGUCGUGAGAUGU
rnacentral:rRNA from 1 species